rnacentral:rRNA from 1 species
AGUCGAACGAUGAAGCCGGAGCUUGCUCUGGUGGAUUAGUGGCGAACGGGUGAGUAACACGUGAGUAACCUGCCCCUGACUCUGGGAUAAGCGCUGGAAACGGCGUCUAAUACCGGAUAUGCGCUGUAACCGCAUGGUUUGCAGCGGGAAAGAUUUAUCGGUUGGGGAUGGACUCGCGGCCUAUCAGCUUGUUGGUGAGGUAAUGGCUCACCAAGGCGUCGACGGGUAGCCGGCCUGAGAGGGUGACCGGCCACACUGGGACUGAGACACGGCCCAGACUCCUACGGGAGGCAGCAGUGGGGAAUAUUGCACAAUGGGCGCAAGCCUGAUGCAGCAACGCCGCGUGAGGGAUGACGGCCUUCGGGUUGUAAACCUCUUUUAGCAGGGAAGAAGCCUUCGGGUGACGGUACCUGCAGAAAAAGCGCCGGCUAACUACGUGCCAGCAGCCGCGGUAAUACGUAGGGCGCAAGCGUUAUCCGGAAUUAUUGGGCGUAAAGAGCUCGUAGGCGGUUUGUCACGUCUGCUGUGAAAACUGGAGGCUCAACCUCCAGCCUGCAGUGGGUACGGGCAGACUAGAGUGCGGUAGGGGAGAUUGGAAUUCCUGGUGUAGCGGUGGAAUGCGCAGAUAUCAGGAGGAACACCGAUGGCGAAGGCAGAUCUCUGGGCCGUUACUGACGCUGAGGAGCGAAAGGGUGCGGAGCAAACAGGCUU